rnacentral:rRNA from 1 species
GCAUAUCAAUAAGCGGAGGAAAAGAAACCAACAGGGAUUGCCUCAGUAACGGCGAAGUGAAGCGGCAACAGCUCAAAUUUGAAAUCUGGCCUCUUUGGGGUCCGAAGUUGUAAUUUGUAGAGGAUGUUUCGGGUACCGCCUCGGUUUAAAUUUCUUGGAACAGAAUGUCAGAGAGGGUGAGAAUCCCGUCUUGGACCGGCGGUAGGGCCCAUGUGAAACUCCUUCGACGAGUCGAGUUGUUUGGGAAUGCAGCUCAAAAUGGGUGGUAAAUUUCAUCUAAAGCUAAAUAUUGGCCAGAGACCGAUAGCGCACAAGUAGAGUGAUCGAAAGAUGAAAAGCACUUUGAAAAGAGAGUUAAACAGUAUGUGAAAUUGUUGAAAGGGAAGCGCUUACAACCAGACUUGCGCGCGGCGGUUCCCCCUUCCUUUUGGUUGGGCUACUCCGUCGUGUCCAGGCCAACAUCGGUUCUGGGGGUCGGUUAAAGACCCUGGGAAUGUAUCUACCCUUCGGGCGUAGACUUAUAGCUCAGGGUGUCAUGCGACCUCCCGGGACCGAGGAACGCGCUUCGGCUCGGAUGUUGGCGUAAUGGUUGUCAGCGACCCGUCUUGAAACACGGACCAAGGAGUCUAACAUCUAUGCGAGUGUUUGGGUGUCAAACCCGGAACGCGAAAUGAAAGUGAACGGAGGUAGGAAGCCUUGAGGCUGCACUAUCGACCGAUCCUGAUGUCUUCGGAUGGAUUUGAGUAAGAGCAUAGCUGUUGGGACCCGAAAGAUGGUGAACUAUGCCUGAAUAGGGUGAAGCCAGAGGAAACUCUGGUGGAGGCUCGCAGCGGUUCUGACGUGCAAAUCGAUCGUCAAAUUUGGGUAUAGGGGGCGAAAGACUAAUCGAACCAUCUGGUAGCUGGUUCUGC